rnacentral:rRNA from 1 species
GAUGAACGCUAGCGAUAGGCUUAACACAUGCAAGUCGAGGGGCAGCAUGGUCUUAGCUUGCUAAGGCUGAUGGCGACCGGCGCACGGGUGCGUAACGCGUAUGCAACUUGCCUCACAGAGGGGGAUAACCCGUCGAAAGACGGACUAAUACCGCGUACACUCUAUGUUGGGCAUCCAAUGUAGAGGAAAUGAAAUUCGCUGUGAGAUAGGCAUGCGUCCCAUUAGCUAGUUGGUGAGGUAACGGCUCACCAAGGCGACGAUGGGUAGGGGAACUGAGAGGGGGGAACCCCCACACUGGAACGGGAACACGGAAGAGAACCCAAGGGGGGAGAGGAGGGGGGAAUAUUGGGAAAGGGGGGAGAGCCUGAACCAGCAAAGGCGCGUGAGGGAGAACGGUUUUAGGGGUGGUAAACUUUUUUUAUAGGGGAAUAACAAGGGUCACGUGGGGCUCCCUGCAGGAACCGUAGAAAAAACCAUCGGAAAACUCCGG